UCCUUGCUGAGAAGGGGCCAUGAACGGGACGCGUUGCAGUGCAGGGUCAAAAUAAAAGAGCUGAGGAGUGCUUACUGCAAAGCCCAUGAGGGAAUUUGCCACUCAGGAGCUGCCCCCACAACCUGCCGUUUUUACAAGGAGCUGGAUGCCAUACUUGGGUGUGACCCCACUGCCAAUCCGAGGACCACGAUGGAGAGUUCAGAUCAGGGAGAAGUGGGGGAGGGUGUAGAGGAAGCCGACAGUGAGGCUACUGGCAUGGAGGGAGACACCCCGGAGUCCCAGGAGGCAUGCAGCCAGGAGUUCUUCUCAAGCCAGGAGGAGGCUAGCUAGUCGCAGCAGCUGGAAGUUGCUGGUGAGGAAGAAACUGAGGAGCGUGCUCGGGUGACCUUGACUAAUGCAGCCGGAUCACCGGCCUCACGUCGGUUGCAGAACUUGAGAAAAAAUCCCCGAAAAUCAAAAGAAGAAUUGAUCAAAGCAGUUAUGAUUCACUACAACAGAGAAAGUAGGAAGAUGCAGGAAUGGAGAGAGAAAAUGUAUGAGUGGAGGCAAACAGAAAGCAGGAGAAAGGAAUUGGCUAUCAAAAAAACCUCAAAGCAGAUGAUGAGCCUCCUGGCUCGCCAAACUGAGUCUUUCGAGUCUCUCGUAGCCAUGCAGGCAGAUAUGUACCGUGGUAACCCACAGCCCUCCCAAAGCUCUCUUUCUUGUUCCCCAGUAUUUUCACAAAACACCCUUCUCCAGCAGCCUGUUUCUUAUUACCCCCAGCUGCCCCCAACACCUGUACGAUCACCUACCAGCCCUGAUAACUAUAAUUCUUACUCUGUGCACUCCACCCCCAUUACCCUGCAGCAUAGUAAUCCUGAAGUGCAGCAGACAUUGAACAGUAAUCAAAACAGGACAUAUUCAAACCUCUGAAUGUACAGUCCACCACCCUAACCCCCCUGGCCUUUUAUGUACUGUACUUUGAAUAAAGGAUUUUAUGGCUUUUA